UGAGGGAGGUGCUAUACAUGCAGUCGAGCGAACAGAUAAGGAGCUUGCUCCUUUGACGUUAGCGGCGGACGGGUGAGUAACACGUGGGUAACCUACCUAUAAGACUGGGAUAACUUCGGGAAACCGGAGCUAAUACCGGAUAACAUUUGGAACCGCAUGGUUCUAAAGUGAAAGAUGGUUUUGCUAUCACUUAUAGAUGGACCCGCGCCGUAUUAGCUAGUUGGUAAGGUAACGGCUUACCAAGGCAACGAUACGUAGCCGACCUGAGAGGGUGAUCGGCCACACUGGAACUGAGACACGGUCCAGACUCCUACGGGAGGCAGCAGUAGGGAAUCUUCCGCAAUGGGCGAAAGCCUGACGGAGCAACGCCGCGUGAGUGAUGAAGGGUUUCGGCUCGUAAAACUCUGUUAUUAGGGAAGAACAAAUGUGUAAGUAACUGUGCACAUCUUGACGGUACCUAAUCAGAAAGCCACGGCUAACUACGUGCCAGCAGCCGCGGUAAUACGUAGGUGGCAAGCGUUAUCCGGAAUUAUUGGGCGUAAAGCGCGCGUAGGCGGUUUCUUAAGUCUGAUGUGAAAGCCCACGGCUCAACCGUGGAGGGUCAUUGGAAACUGGGAAACUUGAGUGCAGAAGAGGAAAGUGGAAUUCCAUGUGUAGCGGUGAAAUGCGCAGAGAUAUGGAGGAACACCAGUGGCGAAGGCGACUUUCUGGUCUGUAACUGACGCUGAUGUGCGAAAGCGUGGGGAUCAAACAGGAUUAGAUACCCUGGUAGUCCACGCCGUAAACGAUGAGUGCUAAGUGUUAGGGGGUUUCCGCCCCUUAGUGCUGCAGCUAACGCAUUAAGCACUCCGCCUGGGGAGUACGACCGCAAGGUUGAAACUCAAAGGAAUUGACGGGGACCCGCACAAGCGGUGGAGCAUGUGGUUUAAUUCGAAGCAACGCGAAGAACCUUACCAAAUCUUGACAUCCUUUGAAAACUCUAGAGAUAGAGCCUUCCCCUUCGGGGGACAAAGUGACAGGUGGUGCAUGGUUGUCGUCAGCUCGUGUCGUGAGAUGUUGGGUUAAGUCCCGCAACGAGCGCAACCCUUAAGCUUAGUUGCCAUCAUUAAGUUGGGCACUCUAGGUUGACUGCCGGUGACAAACCGGAGGAAGGUGGGGAUGACGUCAAAUCAUCAUGCCCCUUAUGAUUUGGGCUACACACGUGCUACAAUGGACAAUACAAAGGGCAGCUAAACCGCGAGGUCAUGCAAAUCCCAUAAAGUUGUUCUCAGUUCGGAUUGUAGUCUGCAACUCGACUACAUGAAGCUGGAAUCGCUAGUAAUCGUAGAUCAGCAUGCUACGGUGAAUACGUUCCCGGGUCUUGUACACACCGCCCGUCACACCACGAGAGUUUGUAACACCCGAAGCCGGUGGAGUAACCAUUUAUGGAGCUAGCCGUCGAAGUGAUCAA
rnacentral:rRNA from 2 species